rfam:Vigna radiata var. radiata cultivar VC1973A chromosome 7, whole genome shotgun sequence
GAGCAAGUGCGUGUAUUAUGUAAAAAUGACGAAACUUGCAUUGAAGGUUGGCGAAAAGAAUUGCGAUUCUCCGUGCCUAUCAGAUUCACUUUGUUUUGAUUAUGGCCUCGAACAAGUCGCUACAUG